rnacentral:rRNA from 1 species
AUAGGAUUCCUGCAGUAAUGGCGAAUGAAGAGGGAAGUGCUCAGCAUGCAAAUUGGGGCCCCUGGCUUUGAAUUGUAGUCUCGAGAUGCGCUACCAAAGGAGGUGCAGAUGAAGGCCUUUUGGAAAGAAGCAUCGAUGAGGGUGAGAGUCCCGUUUGUCAUCUGCAGUCCUCCAUGUACGGUGUGCCUUCUCUGAGUCACGUUCCUCGGAAUUGGAGCGCAAAGUGGGUGGUAAAUUUCAUCUCAAGCUAAAUACAGGCUCGAACCCGAUAGCAAACAAGUACCAUGAGGGAAAGGUGAAAAGGACUUUGAAAAGAGAGUUAAAAGUGCCUGAAAUUGCUGAAACGGAAGCGAAUGGAGCCAGUGCUGCUUGGUGAAGUCUUCUGUGCGCCAGCGUGAUUGCUAGCUGCUUCGACGGCAGCGGCUCCGAGUGCGACGUGCGCAGUGCCUUUGGCCUUGUGUGUCACUGCCACUUCACGAUGGAUGAAAACUUCAGGGACGUGAUAGUUCGCCUCAGGGUGAAGGAGUGUGCCUGGUAGCACUCACUCGUGGAUUGCUUCGUUGAUGUCUGGUUGCAGCGCCGCGUUUGGCUUUGCGUUCGCGGCUCUCC